rnacentral:rRNA from 1 species
UACGGAGGGGGCUAGCGUUGUUCGGAAUUACUGGGCGUAAAGCGCGCGUAGGCGGCUUGCCAAGUUGGGGGUGAAAUCCCGGGGCUUAACCCCGGAAUUGCCUUCAAAACUGGCAGGCUUGAGGCCGAGAGAGGUAAGGGGAAUUCCUAGUGUAGAGGUGAAAUUCGUAGAUAUUAGGAAGAACACCGGUGGCGAAGGCGCCUUACUGGCUCGGACCUGACGCUGAGGUGCGAAAGCGUGGGGAGCAAACAGG